AAGUCGUAACAAGGUUUCCGUAGGUGAACCUGCGGAAGGAUCAUUACUGAGUGGUUUUCCCGCGAGGGAGCUGCCCGACCUGAUGUCAUUCUAUCCGAGGGCGCGUCCGCAUGAGACAGCGGUUCGACGUUGGAGGUACCCGGACGAGGCGCUUGUCUCGAAGGGGGAAGCUCCGGGUCGGGCCGUGGCGCGCCUCUCGGCACAACUUUCCGCGGAAGUGGUAGGCGUUGACCUGCCCGCCGCGGGCCGUAUUUUCUACAAGUCUUGAAGAAAACCUGAAGUCUGAAGAUCAAAACAAAAUGAAAAGCAAAACUUUCAACAACGGAUCUCUUGGCUCUG
rnacentral:misc_RNA from 1 species